UACGUAGGGGGCAAGCGUUGUCCGGAGUUACUGGGCGUAAAGCGCACGCAGGCGGUCUCUUAAGUUUGGAGUGACAGUUGGUGGCUUAACUGCCAAAGUGCUUCGAAAACUGAGAGACUUGAGGGCUUCAGAGGGACACGGAAUUCCGGGUGGAGUGGUGAAAUGCGUAGAUAUCUGGAGGAACACCGGUGGCGAAGGCGGCAUCCUGGACCGAUACUGACGCUGAGGAGCGAAAGCCAGGGGAGCAAACGGG
rnacentral:rRNA from 1 species